rnacentral:miRNA from 1 species
GAUUUAGAAUACAGGUAGAUUCCAAAUGAAGGCUAGGAGCUGGGAUGGGGAAGAGGUACCUAGUAUUAGUGUACAUCUUUUGAGUGUUUGUUGUGUUUUCAUACACUCUCCUAA